CCUGGUUGAUCCUGCCAGUAGUCAUAUGCUUGUCUCAAAGAUUAAGCCAUGCAUGUGUAAGCACACACUGUUUUAAAAGUGAAGCCGCGAAUGGCUCAUUACAACAGCCACAGUUUAUUAGAACUUACAUACAUGGAUAACUGUGGUAAUUCUAGAGCUAAUACACGCACAAAAACUUCAACUAUACAAUGGUUGAAGUGCUUUUAUUAGAACAAAAACCGAACGGCGUUCGACUUGUGUUGAACGUCGAAACUCUUUGGUGAAUCUGAAUAACUAUUUCUGAUCGCAUGGUCUAGCACCGGCGACAUCACUUUCAAGUGUCUGCCUUAUCAACCUUCGAUGGUAGUCUAUGCGACUACCAUGGUGAUAACGGGUAACGGAGAAUCAGGGUUCGACUCCGGAGAGGGAGCCUGAGAAACGGCUACCACAUCCAAGGAAGGCAGCAGGCGCGCAAAUUACCCACUCCCAGCUUGGGGAGGUAGUGACGAAAAAUAACGAGACGAUUCUCGUUUGAGAAACGUUAUCGAAAUGAGUACGCUUUACACACGCUAACGAGUAGCAAUUGGAGGGCAAGUCUGGUGCCAGCAGCCGCGGUAAUUCCAGCUCCAAUAGCGUAUAUUAAAGUUGCUGCAGUUAAAAAGCUCGUAGUUGGAUCUUGGGAGCGGGCGGGCGGUCCGCCGCGAGGCGAGUCACCGCCCGUCCCCGCCCCUUGCCUCUCGGCGCCCCCUCGAUGCUCUUAGCUGAGUGUCCCGCGGGGCCCGAAGCGUUUACUUUGAAAAAAUUAGAGUGUUCAAAGCAGGCCCGAGCCGCCUGGAUACCGCAGCUAGGAAUAAUGGAAUAGGACCGCGGUUCUAUUUUGUUGGUUUUCGGAACUGAGGCCAUGAUUAAGAGGGACGGCCGGGGGCAUUCGUAUUGCGCCGCUAGAGGUGAAAUUCUUGGACCGGCGCAAGACGGACCAGAGCGAAAGCAUUUGCCAAGAAUGUUUUCAUUAAUCAAGAACGAAAGUUAGAGGUUCGAAGGCGAUCAGAUACCGCCCUAGUUCUAACGGUAAACUAUGCCAACCAGCGAUUCGCCGAAGUUCAUUUAAGACUCGGCGAGCAGCUUCCGGGAAACCAAAGUGUUUCGGUUCCGGGGGAAGUAUGGUUGCAAAGCUGAAACUUAAAGGAAUUGACGGAAGGGCACCACCAGGAGUGGAGCCUGCGGCUUAAUUUGACCCAACACGGGAAAACUCACCCGGCCCGGACACUGAAAGGAUUGACAGAUUGACAGCUCUUUCUUGAUUCAGUGGGUAGUGGUGCAUGGCCGUUCUUAGUUGGUGGAGCGAUUUGUCUGGUUAAUUCCGAUAACGAACGAGACUCUGGCAUGCUAACUAGUUACGCGACCCCCGAGCGGUCGGCGUCCCCCAACUUCUUAGAGGGACAAGUGGCGUUCAGCCACCCGAGAUUGAGCAAUAACAGGUCUGUGAUGCCCUUAGAUGUCCGGGGCUGCACGCGCGCUACACUGACUGGCUCAGCGUGUGCCUACCCUACGCCGGCAGGCGCGGGUAACCCGUUGAACCCCAUUCGUGAUGGGGAUCGGGGAUUGCAAUUAUUCCCCAUGAACGAGGAAUUCCCAGUAAGUGCGGGUCAUAAGCUUGCGUUGAUUAAGUCCCUGCCCUUUGUACACACCGCCCGUCGCUACUACCGAUUGGAUGAUUUAGUGAGGUGUUUUGACUAGCGCCUGUAGUCGGAUGUAUAUUCGGCUUCGCGCCGGGAAAUUUCCCAAACCAAAUCAUCUAGAGGAAGUAAAAGUCGUAACAAGGUUUCCGUAGGUGAACCUGCGGAAG
rnacentral:rRNA from 1 species